rnacentral:rRNA from 1 species
GUGAGGAAUAUUGGUCAAUGGACGAGAGUCUGAACCAGCCAAGUCGCGUGAAGGAAGACGGUUCUAUGAAUUGUAAACUUCUUUUGUGCAGGAAUAAAGUGGGUUACGUGUAACCUUUUGUAUGUACUGUACGAAUAAGGAUCGGCUAACUCCGUGCCAGCAGCCGCGGUAAUACGGAGGAUCCGAGCGUUAUCCGGAUUUAUUGGGUUUAAAGGGUGCGUAGGUGGAUUGAUAAGUCAGCGGUGAAAGUUUGCAGCUUAACUGUAAAAUUGCCGUUGAAACUGUCGGUCUUGAGUGCAAAUGAGGUAGGCGGAAUGUGUUGUGUAGCGGUGAAAUGCUUAGAUAUAACACAGAACUCCGAUUGCGAAGGCAAUCCCCUGGGCCUGCACUGACGCUCAUGCACGAAAGCGUGGGGAGCAAACACGAUUAGAAACCCCAGUAGUCC